AAUUUUGGACACUGGGCGAAAGCCUGAUCCAGCCAUGCCGCGUGCAGGAUGAAGGCCUUCGGGUUGUAAACUGCUUUUGUACGGAACGAAAAGCUUUGGGUUAAUACCCUGGAGUCAUGACGGUACCGUAAGGAUAAGCACCGGCCAACUACGUGCCAGCCGCCGCGGUCAUACGUAGGGUGCAAGCGUUAAUCGGAAUUACUGGGCGUAAAGCGGGCGCAGGCGGUUGUGUAAGACAGAGGUGAAAUCCCCGGGCGCAACAGGGGAACUGCCUGUGUGACUGCAAGGCUAGAGUACGGCAGAGGGGGGUGGAAUUCCGCGUGUAGCAGUGAAAUGCGUAGAUAUGCGGAGGAACACCGAUGGCGAAGGCAACCCCCUGGGCCUGUACUGACGCUCAUGCACGAAAGCGUGGGGAGCAAACA
rnacentral:rRNA from 1 species